AUAGAGGGGUAUGGGUGGUGAGACGUAGACCAUUUGAAAGUCUUUGGUUAAGAUAAAGGGGAAUAAAGGAAUGGCAUCAUGGCAGAGGUCUACUAUAGUCCACUAGAUCAGGAAGAGGAGGUGGACGAGGCAUUUAUAGAACAAAUAACAGCAAUAUCCAAAAAUUAAGACCUAGUAAUAAGGGGGAAUUUAACUAUCCAGCGGAGCCGGCUUUAGGCCGAUUCCCCCAAUUCCCGUGAAUCGGGCCCCACGCCUAAGACGGCCCCGCAGCAUCCGGAAGAGGGAUCCUGCAAGUAGCACCUAAAGACCCAAAACCAGGAUCCCAUGGUGCUAAGUGGCAUAACACAUAACGAGAGACGAUUCCAAGCUCCAAGCGCCUGCAUUCUGAAUAGCCAGGACAGACAAGGCAUUGUCAUCCCAUUUUACAGUUGGGCUAGCGGUUUAUUUUCCUCUGCAUCGUAUGGAUCCCCCUGGAGAGAAGGCGAGGGAGAAAAAUAAAGGUUUGAACAAGAGAUUGCAAGUGGGAAACAAGCUGAAGAAUGUGUGAAAGCUCCAGCUCCAGCUCCAGCUCCAUCCUAAAUUAUCUAGAGGUGUUCAAUAGACUGUGUUACAGCGAGUGGGCCAGCCUCUCAGUGGGUGUAAAUGGGUGUACACCGACAGAAGUCAGUGAAGGAGGACAGUUUCACUGUGAAGCCAACAGCCUAAAUACCAGGCAAGCUGGAUUCAAUUCCUGGCUGUGCCACAGACUUCCUGAGUGACCUAAGGUGUCUGUCAUAACCUUCAAAUAUACUUAAAAAGCUCAUCCAUCCCGGGAUAGAACAUAUGAUGAGAAGAAAGCAGGAUUCACAGACCAAAGCCACAACUACCACACAAGUUUUUG